CAGGGAUUGCCCUAGUAACGGCGAGUGAAGCGGCAACAGCUCAGAUUUGAAAUCCGGCUUCGGCCCGAGUUGUAAUCUGUAGAGGAUGCUUCUGGCGACGCGCCCGCUGAGUCCCCUGGAACGGGGCGCCACGGAGGGUGAGAGCCCCGUACGGCGGGACGCCUAGCCUGUGCGAAGCUCCUUCGACGAGUCGAGUAGUUUGGGAAUGCUGCUCAAAACGGGAGGUAAAUUCCUCCUAAAGCUAAAUACAGGCCAGAGACCGAUAGCGCACAAGUAGAGUGAUCGAAAGAUGAAAAGCACUUUGGAAAGAGGGUUAAAUAGCACGUGAAAUUGUUGAAAGGGAAGCGCCCGUGGCCAGACUCGGGCCAGGCGGUUCCGUCAGCGCUCGUCGCUGGCGUACUCCGCCUAGCCCGGGCCAGCAUCGGUGCCCGCUGGGGGAUAAAGGCCCUGGGAACGUAGCUCUCCAGGGAGCAUUACAGCCCGGGGCGUAAUGCCUCAGGGGGGACCGAGGUUCGCGCACUCCGCAAGGAUGCUGGCGUAAUGGCCACCGGCGACCCGUCUUGAAACACGGACCAAGGAGUCGUCCAUUGGAGCGAGCGUUUGGGUGCUAAACCCGUACGCGUAAUGAAAGUGAACGUAGGUGAGAGCUUCGGCGCAUCAUCGACCGAUCCUGAUGUUCUCGGACGGAUUUGAGUAAGAGUUCCAACGGACGGACCCGAAAGAUGGUGAACUAUGCCUGUAUAGGGUGAAGCCAGAGGAAACUCUGGUGGAGGCUCGCAGCGGUUCUGACGUGCAAAUCGAUCGUCAAAUAUGGGCA
rnacentral:rRNA from 1 species